rnacentral:rRNA from 1 species
UAUCACUAAGCGGAGGAAAAGAAACCAACAGGGAUUGCCUCAGUAGCGGCGAGCGAAGCGGCAAAAGCUCAAAUUUGAAAUCUGGCUUCGGCCCGAGUUGUAAUUUGCAGAGGUCACUCCCGGAAACGUGCCCGCCGAGUCCCCUGGAACGGGGCGCCGCAGAGGGUGAGAGCCCCGUGCGGUGGGAUGCCGAUCCGCAGUGGAGGUCCUUCGAAGAGUCGAGUAGUUUGGGAAUGCUGCUCUAAGUGGGAGGUAAAUUCCUUCUAAAGCUAAAUACCGGCCAGAGACCGAUAGCGCACAAGUAGAGUGAUCGAAAGAUGAAAAGCACCUUGGAAAGAGGGUCAAACAGUACGUGAAAUUGCUAAAGGGGAAGCGCUUGCGACCAGACACGGGCUCGGCGGAUCAUCCGGCGUUCUUCGCCGGUGCACUUCGCCGCUGCCUGGGCCAGCAUCGGCUCGCCCGCCGGGGUACAAAAGCUCGGGGAACGUAGCUCCCUCCGGGGAGUGUUAUAGCCCCGGGCCUAAUGCCCCGGCGCGGGCCGAGGACCGCGCAUUUGCAAGGAUGCUGNCGUAAUGGUCGUCAGCGACCCGUCUUGAAACACGGACCAAGGAGUCGAACAUCUGCGCGAGUGUGUGGGUGGAAAACCCGCGCGCGCAAUGAAAGUGAACGGAGGUGGGAACCUUAGGGUGCACCAUCGACCGAUCCUGACGUUCUCUGAUGGAUUUGAGUAAGAGCGUAGCUGUUCGGACCCGAAAGAUGGUGAACUAUGCCUGCGUAGGGCGAAGCCAGAGGAAACUCUGGUGGAGGCUCGCAGCGGUUCUGACGUNCAAAUCGAUCGUCAAACGUGGGCAUGGGGGCGAAAGACUAAUCGAACCAUCUAUACUGGUUCC